rnacentral:rRNA from 1 species
GACGAACGCUGGCGGCGUGCCUAAUACAUGCAAGUAGAACGCUGAAGGAGGAGCUUGCUUCUCUGGAUGAGUUGCGAACGGGUGAGUAACGCGUAGGUAACCUGCCUGGUAGCGGGGGAUAACUAUUGGAAACGAUAGCUAAUACCGCAUAACAGUAGAUAUCGCAUGAUAUCUACUUGAAAGGUGCAAUUGCAUCACUACCAGAUGGACCUGCGUUGUAUUAGCUAGUUGGUGAGGUAACGGCUCACCAAGGCGACGAUACAUAGCCGACCUGAGAGAGUGAUCGGCCACACUGGGACUGAGACACGGCCCAGACUCCUACGGGAGGCAGCAGUAGGGAAUCUGCGGCAAGGGACGGAAGUCUGACCGAGCAACGCCGCGUGAGUGAAGAAGGGUUUCGGAUCGUAAAGCUCUGUUGUAAGAGAAGAACGAGUGUGAGAGUGGAAAGUUCACACUGUGACGGUAUCUUACCAGAAAGGGACGGCUAACUACGUG